GAGUCUGAUCGUGGCUCAGAUUGAACGCUGGCGGCAGGCCUAACACAUGCAAGUCGAGCGGAUGAAGGGAGCUUGCUCCUGGAUUCAGCGGUGGACGGGUGAGUAAUGCCUAGGAAUCUGCCUGGUAGUGGGGGAUAACGUCCGGAAACGGGCGCUAAUACCGCAUACGUCCUGAGGGAGAAAGUGGGGAUCUUCGGACCUCACGCUAUCAGAUGAGCCUAGGUCGGAUUAGCUAGUUGGUGGGUAAAGGCCUACCAAGGCGACGAUCCGUAACUGGUCUGAGAGGAUGAUCAGUCACACUGGAACUGAGACACGGUCCAGACUCCUACGGGAGGCAGCAGUGGGAAUAUUGGACAAUGGGCGAAAGCCUGAUCCAGCCAUGCCGCGUGUGUGAAGAAGGUCUUCGGAUUGUAAAGCACUUUAAGUUGGGAGGAAGGGCAGUAAGUUAAUACCUUGCUGUUUUGACGUUACCAACAGAAUAAGCACCGGCUAACUUCGU
rnacentral:rRNA from 1 species